rnacentral:rRNA from 1 species
UAGGGAAUAUUGCAAAAUGGGCGAAAGCCCGAUGCAGCAACGCCGCGUGGGCGAUGAAGGCCUUCGGGUCGUAAAGCCCUUUUUGAGGGGAUGAGGAAGGACAGUACCCUCAGAAUAAGCCUCGGCUAACUACGUGCCAGCAGCCGCGGUAAAACGUAGGAGGCGAGCGUUAUCCGGAUUUACUGGGCGUAAAGCGCGUGCAGGCGGAUUGGAGAGUUGGAUGUGAAAGCUCCCGGCUUAACUGGGAGAGGUCGUUCAAUACUUCCAGUCUUGAGUGCAGUAGAGGGAAGUGGAAUUCCGGGUGUAGUGGUGAAAUGCGUAGAUAUCCGGAGGAACACCAGUGCCGAAAGCGGCUUCCUGGACUGUAACUGACGCUCAGACGCGAAAGCUAGGGUAGCAAACG